rnacentral:piRNA from 1 species
UUAGUAUGGAAUUAAUGUAUU